rnacentral:tRNA from 1 species
UGGGAUAUAGCUCAGCAGCACAGUGCAUGCCUGGCAAGCAUGAAGUCAUGAGUUCGGUUCUCAGUACCAA